AGAGUUUGAUCAUGGCUCAGAGUGAACGCUGGCGGCGUGCUUAACACAUGCAAGUCGAACGAGAACGGUACUAGCUUGCUAGUAUGUCAGCUAAGUGGCGGACGGGUGAGUAAUGUAUAGUUAAUCUGCCCCUUGGAGAGGGAUAACAGUUGGAAACGACUGCUAAUACCUCAUAUUCCUUAUGCUGUAAGAGUAUAAGGGAAAUGGUUUAUUCUGCCAAGGGAUGAGACUAUAUGAUAUCAGUUAGUUGGUGGGGUAAUGGCCUACCAAGACUAUGACAUCUAGCUGGUCUGAGAGGAUGAUCAGCCACACUGGAACUGAGACACGGUCCAGACUCCUACGGGAGGCAGCAGUGGGGAAUAUUGCACAAUGGAGGAAACUCUGAUGCAGCAACGCCGCGUGGAGGAUGACACAUUUCGGUGCGUAAACUCCUUUUAUAUGGGAAGAUAAUGACGGUACCAUAUGAAUAAGCACCGGCUAACUCCGUGCCAGCAGCCGCGGUAAUACGGAAGGUGCAAGCGUUACUCGGAAUCACUGGGCGUAAAGCGCGCGCAGGCGGCUUGAUAAGUUGGAUGUGAAAGCCUACGGCUCAACCGUAGAACUGCAUCCAAAACUGUCAAGCUAGAGUCUGGGAGGGGAAGAUGGAAUUAGUUGUGUAGGGGUAAAAUCCGUAGAGAUAACUAGGAAUACCAAAAGCGAAGGCGAUCUUCUGGAACAGUACUGACGCUGAGGCGCGAAAGCGUGGGGAGCAAACAGGAUUAGAUACCCUGGUAGUCCACGCCCUAAACGAUGAAUGUUAGUCGUCGGAGGCCUAGUGUCUUCGGUGAUGCAGCUAACGCAUUAAACAUUCCGCCUGGGGAGUACGGUCGCAAGAUUAAAACUCAAAGGAAUAGANNGG
rnacentral:rRNA from 1 species